UAUUAAAUAUUCUUCCUUCUUCAAGAUGUAAACCCAUUGUGUAAGCAUCAGUACAAAACCAAGUGUCAUUUACCGGUACUGCUGAAGGGGUCACGCUUUGCCAUCCCAGCCAGACUGUCUGAUUAUACCAACCAUAAUAUCUCAGCUCUAACUCCAACCAAGCAGGUCUGAGAUGGGUCAGCAGCAGUUGCUAAGCCCAGGCAAAAUGCCUGCUGUCCUGAUUGAUUUUUCCCUGCCACCUUGGCACAACUCGGUAGUUUCUUAUCUAUCUUCUGAGGUCUGUUCUUCAUCAAAGCUUAUCUGUUUGUCAGAGGCUGUGUAAGGCCGAUGCCUCCCAGAUGUCCCCUUUCUUGGUUUUGUAACAGCACCUGCAAGACUUGUUUGAGAGCUGUAUCCAUUAAGAGUUAGACAAACUUCAAAAACAUAGCAUACUUAGAAUAGUUGCACAGAAGGCUAAAACAAUACAGCAGUUACAAUUACUAGUUAAAAAGAGUAGGCUAAUUUCAGUACCUAUAAUUAAGGGAUAUGACUAAAUACUACAAAA